rnacentral:rRNA from 1 species
UACGGAGGGUGCAAGCGUUAAUCGGAAUUACUGGGCGUAAAGCGCGCGUAGGUGGCUUGAUAAGCCGGUUGUGAAAGCCCCGGGCUCAACCUGGGAACGGCAUCCGGAACUGUCAGGCUAGAGUGCAGGAGAGGAAGGUAGAAUUCCCGGUGUAGCGGUGAAAUGCGCAGAGAUCGGGAGGAAUACCAGUGGCGAAGGCGGCCUUCUGGACUGACACUGACACUGAGGUGCGAAAGCGUGGGUAGCAAACAGG